GGUUUAGUCUUUAAUGCGGUGAUGGAAAAGCCGCCCCUGGACACUCGUGCUUCGGUGGAGCUGGCCAUGACCAAGCCAGCAGGCCGGUGCUAACGUUACAGCAAGGGUGGCGUGUCAUCUGUUACGAAUGAAGUCAACCUUCCAUAUGUACCAUGUCCUACUUCCCGAGCCUCCACCUACGUCUCGUCUGCUGGUCCAAGGGAGACUCUGGUCAUCGAUUUCACUGGGUCCCUCGGCAGCACCCUUGGUCAUCGCCACACCCUGAGUACCCUCCCCCAUCAGUGGUUUUGCCCGUCUGCCAGCUCCCCGUUAGCGUCAGGGCCUAGUGCUCUCCUGACAUUUCAGUCUGCGGUUGGUGUGGUCAGGGGCCCAUUUCUCACCAGACCUGGCUGCUUCCAAAGCCUGUCCGAUAGCCCGAAGAGGGAUUUCAGCUCUGAGGAAGAGGCCGUAGUGUAAAGAGCAGGUUAGGGUGGGGGGCGCUGUUCUCGGGGAGGCUUAUGGGAGAGUCAGCCAGGCUGUAUUAGAAGGACAGGGUGACUUAAAGUGCAGCUUAGAGCAAAGUCUGGGGUCAUGGAGGAGAAUCCAAAAGGUUAAGUCAGAAAAUGUCCUCAUUCUGUUACGCAGAAUCUGAGCAGAGUCCGGGGGCCUAGAGUAGACAGCAGGGGACUAGGGAGAAAGGAUGUCCCUCGGGAGGGACGCAGCUGUGCACAGAAGACACUAGUGGAGGAUGGCUUGCUGAUGGGUAAGAAGGUACAUGUGCGUACACACACUCACACGCUCACACGCUCACACACUCACACUCCAGUGCUUUGGGCCCUAACACAUUGGAAGAAAUCAGGUAAGUCUAACGUUGAGUAAAGUUGAGAGCCCGAAACUGGCUCUUUGCCUUCUGUUCUUCUCUGUGUCAGAUUUUCAGUUUUUCUGGUUCUUGUUCUCUUGAGAGCUAGGGAACGUUGGUGGGGUUUGCAGUCAGUGAAGAAUGAAGGGUCUUCAUUUUGAAGUCGUAGUGAGCCAAGUUCAGGGAAAGAUGCACAUAGAGGAUCUUCUGCGGAGCUUGUGGUGACCGUGGGUCCCGCCUCAGAACCGUGUGCGUCUCUCUGUAAAGCUGUGCGCGCAGACGCACGUACACGUUGGGUAAGUGUGUAGCUUGUAACAACUGACCGAGUCCACCUGAACAAACUGGCACUUGACUCAU
ensembl:lncRNA